rnacentral:rRNA from 1 species
UGGGGAAUAUUGGACAAUGGGCGCAAGCCUGAUCCAGCCAUGCCGCGUGAGUGAUGAAGGCCCUAGGGUUGUAAAGCUCUUUCACCGGUGAAGAUAAUGACGGUAACCGGAGAAGAAGCCCCGGCUAACUUCGUGCCAGCAGCCGCGUUAAUACGAAGGGGGCUAGCGUUGUUCGGAUUUACUGGGCGUAAAGCGCACGUAGGCGCACUUUUAAGUCAGGGGUGAAAUCCCGGGGCUCAACCCCGGAACUGCCUUUGAUACUGGAAGUCUUGAGUAUGGUAGAGGUGAGUGGAAUUCCGAGUGUAGAGGUGAAAUUCGUAGAUAUUCGGAGGAACACCAGUGGCGAAGGCGGCUCACUGGACCAUUACUGACGCUGAGGUGCGAAAGCGUGGGGAGCAAACAGG